rnacentral:lncRNA from 1 species
GUUAUUUGUUGACUCGAGUUCUCCCAUGCCAGUUAGGCUGGUUAGACAUAUUGAUGUGCUAAUCUAAUUUAAUCAGUCAGAUGUUAAAUCUGCUGAUUUAGAAGAGACCUAAACCCAAAUCUCCUUAUUAAAUAUUAAGUCUAGACGUCUUCCAUCAUUGUAAAGAUGCGGGUGCCUUCCUGGCGUUGAUCGUUCUCGGUUAGUUACAGU